AUGCAUAUCAUUACAUGUUAAGUAGUGCUAAGGACACAAGUGCUUAGGACACAAAAGCAAUAUGAAAUAGUUCUUGCCCUCUAAGAGUCUAUAGCCUAUUCAGAGGAAGCAAUAUGUGCACAGAUAAGUAAUUGCAAAAUAUGAAGAUUGAAGUUUAGAUCUGUGAUUUCACUGGAAUUACCAGAGGAAGAAAUUCCAUCUAUCAAUGCAGCUUGACAUUUUCUACAAAUGUACAGUCUUUGAGAGUUGCCUUGGGGUACCGUGAGAAUAAGUGAAUUGCCCAGAGGUACACAGUUAAGUUAGAAUCAGGUGGAGAACCUGAACUCAAUUCUUCCAACUCCAAGGUCAGCUCACAAUCCACUAUGCCAUCCUGAAAAUAAAGCAAAUAGGCCAGAUAGAGCCACAGAAAACAUGAAGAAGAAGAAUGUAUAGUAGACCUAGAAAAGUAGGUUGAGGCCAAUUUGUGAAGGACUAUAAUUGCCAAAUAGAGAAGUUUGUAGUUUAUCCUCAGGAAAAGAGGUAGCCCCUGUGUGUACUUGAAAAGAGAAGUGACAUAAAUCUGUGUUAUAGGAAUUUCAAUUUGGCAACUGUAUGGAGGAUGGAUUGGAGAAGAGAGAGACUUGAGGGAUCCAAUCAUUAUGACAAAGAAUAAAAAAGGAGAAGGCAAAACAGUUCAAGAAAACUGGAAAACA
rnacentral:lncRNA from 1 species